CUAGUCACUUAUCAGCAAUACUAUUCCAAAUACCAACAGGCAUUUGGAUCCCAUUGUGGGAGAUGCUAUUGUUGAGGUUAAAUAUUAAACGGUAGUAAAAUAUACAGGAUUUGUGUGAUAUCCAGGGAUCGGUUAAUACUAUUUUGUCCUAGAAAUGAUCAAAAAUAGUAUAUGAGAUAUGAGUAAUACGUCUAUAGUGUAUGUAUAUAUCAUGGAUUAUCUCCUGCUGUAUGCAAAUAUUACGAACUGCAGGGGAGCACUUUUCCUGCAG